UGGGGAAUAUUGGACAAUGGGCGCAAGCCUGAUCCAGCCAUGCCGCGUGAGUGAUGAAGGCCCUAGGGUUGUAAAGCUCUUUCACCGGUGAAGAUAAUGAUGGUAACCGGAGAAGAAGCCCCGGCUAACUUCGUGCCAGUAGCCGCGGUAAUACGAAGGGGGCUAGCGUUGUUCGGAUUUACUGGGCGUAAAGCGCACGUAGGCGGACUUUUAAGUCAGGGGUGAAAUCCCGGGGCUCAACCCCGCAACUGCCUUUGAUCAUGGAAUUCUUGAGUAUGGUAGAGGUGAGUGGAAUUCCGAGUGUAGAGGUGAUAUUCGUAGAUAUUCGGAGGAACACCGGUGGCGAAGGCGGCUCACUGGACCAUUACUGACGCUGAGGUGCGAAAGCGUGGGGAGCAAACAGG
rnacentral:rRNA from 1 species